CGAAGGUGCAAGCGUUAAUCGGAAUUACUGGGCGUAAAGCGCGCGUAGGUGGUUCAGCAAGUUGGAGGUGAAAUCCCCGGGCUCAACCUGGGAACUGCCUCCAAAACUACUGAGCUAGAGUACGGUAGAGGGUAGUGGAAUUUCCUGUGUAGCGGUGAAAUGCGUAGAUAUAGGAAGGAACACCAGUGGCGAAGGCGACUACCUGGACUGAUACUGACACUGAGGUGCGAAAGCGUGGGGAGCAAAACAGGAUU
rnacentral:rRNA from 1 species